UACGUAGGUGGCAAGCGUUGUCCGGAUUUACUGGGCGUAAAGAGCGCGCAGGCGGUCGUCCAAGUCGCGUGUGAAAGCCCCCGGCUCAACUGGGGAGGGUCACGCGAUGCUGGUCGACUCGAAGGCAGGAGAGGGUAGUGGAAUUCCCGGUGUAGUGGUGAAAUGCGUAGAUAUCGGGAGGAACACCAGUGGCGAAGGCGGUUGCCUGGGGCUUUGCUGACGCUGAUGCGCGAAAGCAUGGGGAGCGAACGGG
rnacentral:rRNA from 1 species